rnacentral:rRNA from 1 species
AGGACGAACGCUGGCGGCGUGCUUAACACAUGCAAGUCGAGCGGAAAGGCCCUUCGGGGUACUCGAGCGGCGAACGGGUGAGUAACACGUGAGUAACCUGCCCCUAGCUCUGGGAUAGCUCCGGGAAACCGGGAUUAAUACCAGAUACGACCACUUUAGACAUCUGUCGUGGUGGAAAGGAUUCCGGCUAGGGAUGGGCUCGCGGCCUAUCAGCUUGUUGGUGGGGUAACGCCUACCAAGGCGACGACGGGUAGCCGGCCUGAGAGGGCGACCGGCCACGACUGGGACUGAGACACGGCCCAGACUCCUACGGGAGGCAGCAGUGGGGAAUAUUGCGCAAUGGGCGAAAGCCUGACGCAGCGACGCCGCGUGGGGGAAGAAGGCUUUCGGGUUGUAAACCCCUUUCAGGAAGGACGAAGCUACUCGGGUUAAUAGCCCAGAGGGUGACGGUACUUCCAGAAGAAGCCCCGGCUAACUACGUGCCAGCAGCCGC